UAGAUACUAUCUAUAUACACGCAUAUAAACUUAACGGUUAAGUACUCCAAAAUGUCGCACUGCUUUUGGUAGACCCGAUGGCACAUCUUCCCUCCCUUGCGAGGAGACUGCCACGAACGGAUCCGCACUUCUUCCUACCCUUCUCCAUACUCCACCCCAUCACUCGAUCACCCUCUCCUUCUCCGGCUACAGCUAUACUUCAGCCAUUCCUUCGUUACCUCUUUCGCGCAUUUCAUCAAACAUGUAAUUUACCCCCUUCACGGACCCGCUGUUUCUCAACCUUCCAACCCUUCUCAGCUCAAAAUUACCAAUAUCCAUUUGACUUUGACAAUUACAAAUUCAAAACCACCCACGGCACGCACGACCCGGGUCUUCCCCGAUUCCUUGAGAUGCUCAGAGGAGUCUCCCAGUGUUCCUCAGAAGCGAAGGCCAUGGUGUCUCUUGACGAGUCAGGCAUCGAAGUGAAUCGAGAAAUUGUUUGCUCUGCGAUUUGGGAAUCGAGGGAAGAGUGGAGACUGGCAUUUUUGGCUUUCAAAUUGGGUGAGAAAUGGGGCUGCACUGAUGAAAAAGCUUGCUAUUUGAUGAUAUGGAUUUUGGGCGAUCAUAGAAAGUUUAAUAUUGCUUGGUGUUUGAUUCGGGACAUGCACACACACCGUUUUAAAAUGGACACUCGUCGGGCAAUGCUUAUUAUGAUUGAUAGAUAUGCAUCUGCAAAUGAUCCAUGCAAGGCCAUUCGAACAUUCCACAUAAUGGAGACAUUCAGGUUGACCCCUGAUCAGGAAGCAUUCCACACCGUUCUGAAGGCACUCUGUAAAUAUGGAAACAUUGAGGAGGCUGAAGAAUUUAUGUUUGUAAACAAAAAAUUAUUCCCACUGGAGACUGAGGGCUUUAACAUUAUUCUCAAUGCAUGGUGUAAUGCAUCUCUAGAUGUAUUUGAAGCAAAGAGAGUUUGGAGAGAAAUGUCUAGAUGCUGUAUUACACCAGAUGCAACUUCAUAUACCCUCAUGAUUUCCUGUUUCUCAAAGGUCGGGAAUCUCUUUGAUUCACUUAGACUCUAUGAUGAAAUGAAGAAACGAAGUUGGAUCAUAGGCCUUGAGGUUUACAAUUCAUUAAUAUACGUACUAACUCAAGAGAAUUGCUUUGAGGAAGCUCUCAAAAUCCUGGAGAAAAUGAAAGGUUUAGGUUUGCAACCGGAUUCUACCACUUACAACUCAAUGAUACACCCUCUGUGUGAAGCAAAAAGGUUUGAGGAGGCAAGAAAUAUAUUGACCACUAUGAUGCAGGAGAAUCUCAUUCCAACCAUGGAGACUUACCAUGCAUUUCUUAAGAGUGCAGGUUUUGAGGGAACAUUGGAAGUUCUUAAUCGAAUGAAGAAAGCUGGUUUAGGUCCUACUGGGGAUACCUUUCUAAUAAUUCUUGGCAAGUUCUUCGAACUGGAGCAACCUGACCAUGCAUUGAAGGUAUUUGUGGAAAUGAAACAAUAUGAAAUAGUGCCCAAUUCCUCGCAUUACUCGGUGCUGGUACAAGGGCUGGCAGUGUGUGGGUGGUUGAUCAAGGCCAGGGAGUUCUAUACCGAGAUGAGAUCAAAUGGAUUUUUAGAAGACCCAAAGCUUAAGAAGCUCUUGAAGGAACCAGUCCGAUGCAGUGUACAUGAAGGGAAGGGCCGGGUCCAACGGGUUGAUAGAGAUGAGAGGGCGAAUCAUAGGAAAGACAGAAGUAUGAGAUGUACAAAUCAUACCCACCAAUCGAGAAAGAAGAAGAAAUCAAUCUAAAAGUCCAAUUUAUAACUUUGACUGGACAUAAAAAGCAUGACAAGUUAUCUGUGCCAUUUGAUAUGAUAAAUGAGGUGCUUUUGCUGGUUGUAAAUAUUGAAAGAAUGACUGAAGAACCUCCUGCUUCAAGAGGUUUGAUUGGGGAGUUAUGGCUUAGGCCAUCUGGUUCUCACUUCUCAAUAACCUACCAAUUGAUUUGGCAUGCCCAGAGAGAAGCAGCUUUGUCAUUUUUCUCUUAACAAGAAAAUUUUCUUCCCCAGUGUUCAAACAUCUGAGAGUUUACUCUUUCAAAUUGUUGCCAUAUACUUCAGAAACAUUUAAAGCGUCCUGUUUUCUCUGAUUGGGCUGGAGAUCUGUUUUCGGGAGCUGAUGAUUAGGUUCAUUGUCACCAUUUUCUUUUCUUUUUCUUCAAUUAGGUGCUUUGCCUCAAGGUAUGUUUGGACUGUUUUGUGUCUUUACAUUUCUUUUAACGUCUUCUGGAUUGUUUAGAUCCCCCCCCUCUUCCUCCCCCCUUCCCUAUCCCCUACCCAAAAUAAUGGAAAGAAAACACAAGUUGAAUGUGGAGCAAAAAUGAGUUUCUGCUAAAUCACAAUUUAUUGGAGUUUUCUUAUCAUGGUGCCACUUCCUUAUGCUCUAGGAAAUGAAAAAGGAUACCCCAGUUCCCACCCUGAAAGGUUCCUGAAAGGUUGGUUGGUCCAUUUUAACUGAUUUAAGUUAUAUUGACUCCCUUAUCCAACACUCGAUUGCUUUGUUUUGACAGGAUCUAAUUUCAACUGCUAAUUCCCACCACCAUUUGCAUCCCAGAGUUGAGACAUUUAGGUACCAAAAGAACCAGUACAAUGUGUUUGAGGUAAACCAGACUGGCUAUGACAACUGCACCACUGAAGGUGCAGUUGGAAACUGGAGCAGUGGCAAAGAUUUCAUACCCCUCAACGAUGCCAAGAGGUAUUACUUCAUUUGUGGCAAUGGUCAGUGCUAUAGUGGAAUGAAGGUAUCUGUUCUUGUCCAUCCUCUGCCGCCGCCCCCAUCUUCC